AUCAUACUCCCUCCGUCCGAAAAUACUUGUCAUCAAAAUGGAUAAAAAUGGAUAUAUCUAGAAUUAAUAUACAUCUAGAUACAUCCUCUUUUAUUCAUUUUGAUGACAAGUAUUUUCGGACGGAGGGAGUAUAUC
rnacentral:pre_miRNA from 1 species